rnacentral:lncRNA from 1 species
AAGACAUCGCGUCUUAUGCCUACGUAUCUCAUUUGGAAUGAGAAUCAGAGCAAGCCGUAGUUCGGCUAACUACGGGUUACGGGUUGUGUUUUAGGAUGAAUGACGUCACUAUGCUAUAUACGGGAUGCUCGACCUUUGGAGACUUACUCGCCUGUAGUAGAAGGAGUCAACGUGUUCUUAGGAGAAGAAAAAUCAAUGAGUUGGUUUGUGUUUUAG